ACCAAGCCAGCUCCCCCAGCGCACCAGGGCUCUGACUGCGUGGCAGGAAGGUGGCUCACAGCGGGCAGGUUAUCACCAUUAGGGCCAGAGGCUUUGUUUAUUUUUAGAUUACCCAGUAGAAUCUGGACAGAGAGAUGAAAAGAACCAGCCUAAAGGGCUCUCUGAUGCCAGACCAUCUUGCAUAUGCUCGGACUCUGACAACAUGGGACAGGGACAUGCAAAGGGAUGGGUUUGAUCUAGCCAGAUUGAUUAAAGGCAUCUCUGCCCCCAUAUGUGCCUCCACGGUGGAUGUGAACGGGGAUGGACUGAUUCAUUUUGUUGCAAAGGCAGUGGAUGCUGUGCUGAAGAGGAUGAGACCCACAAGCACAGACUGUUCUGGCAGCUCCACUUAAAAAGCAAUGUUUCCAUCAGAGGAGUGCUAAAAGCGUCUGGGGGAACUUCAGAUUAUGUCAAAGUGCCCUUUGGUGAUGGGCUAGGAAAUGGAGGUGUGCCUGAGCCCUGCUCUGUUUAAAGGAAAGGGAGACACCUUUUUAAUCAUCCUGCAUUAUAUGUUACGGAGAACUUUUUGAAAGAGCGUGUCUCAUUGUGCUUCAAAGGCCAUAUUUAAAAGCGAACCAGAAUGAUUGUCGCUGUUUUAGAGUUUACUCAGGAUGACAACGAGGAUGCUGUCAGCUCUUAAUCUUUUUCGAUCCUGUCCCUAAGCAGAAAAUUCCAGUGCAAAGAGGAAAAGGGGGAAGAGCGACCAUCUGCAUCGUCCCCUUAGGUGAGGUGACAGGAGCUCUCUUGCUGAUUGUCAGUGAAUUUACUGACUACUAACGAAGCGGACAGAGAAGUGUCUUUCACUGAAGUGCAUUAAAAUAUAUAUAUAUAUAUGUCAGUGAAAAUGAUUGGCUAUUUUUGGAGAAUUUUUCCCCACCAGAUUUGAGCAUCAUCUUGAGUUUGUUUGUUUGCGGUUUUAAUAUGACUGUAUGUUGUUGUUGGCUUUUUUUUUUUUUCCUUUUUUUUCUUUUUGCAGCAGUGAACUUAAUAAAGAUGGAUAUCAGCAACAAACUGUCAAGUCCUGAGCUGGAGAGAUUUUUCACUGAGUGAAAUAGACCAGGGAAAAUAAAUAAUCCAAGAAGCGGUAGAGCUUGUAAAUAUUGACAUCUACAAGCAAGGAAACAGAAGUUGGGUAAAAAUAAAAAAUGGGUUGAGGAUUGCUAUUUUUCAGGUUAUUGCUUGAAAAAAAUCUACAUUUACUUGCCGUCCUGCUUGGGAAAGAGGUAAUAUUUUUUAGUUAAAAUAGAAGGUUUUAAAUGUUUGCAGGCUGUUUCCCCAAACCAUGUGUAUGAGAAUAAGACUUUCUUCCCAGCUUUUGAGACCACAGACAGAAAUAAUGUCCAGAGGAAUAUCUGUGGAAGAGAAGACUACCCUGAUACUUUGUCACUGCAUUGCUUGGCCUUGGCUCACAGACGGAUGAGGGACUGAGGGAUGUGGGGCUGUGCUGAUCACACUAGCUAUUGGCUCUUCUUCUGUACAGAUGACAGUCUUAUCCCCCUGGGACCUGCCACCAUCAUGCAUGGUUGCCACACAUCAUCGAUCUAGCUAAAAACAUCUUUAAGACAAUUCCUGCUUUGUGCUGUUCUCCUCCACCUUCUUAGGAGCUCUGCAAAGUGUGCCUGGACUAGCACCUGUAAUUCACCCAUCAGUAUCAGUUGGUUACUCGAGUCCUCCUUUCCUCAGGUCAGACUGUCAUCUUCAUGACCAGUUUGUGUACAGCCCUGCCAGUACACUCUUUGGAAAUCCUUAAUUGCAUUUGUAUAUUGCUAUCAUACUCAGAAAGCUGGAAAUGUAACCUGAAAGAAGAUUAUUUUUUUUUUUUCUGCAGUCUUUUAGAGAUGGGACAUCUUUAUGUCUGUCGUGACAUAAAAGAGCACCAGUUGGUAUAAAUGACAAUUGUGCAGUAGCCAGUAGUGGGUCAGCCACUCGUUACACCUUAGUGGUCAAGAUGCUAUAAUUAGGAAGUGGAAGGGAGGUUAUUGGGGAUGAUGUUCUUACAAGACAGACAUAAAAUUCUAAACAAAAAAAAAAUGUUCCCAGAUACUCAGUGAAAUUAAUGGAAGGGAAAGAAGAGUGGCCUUUAAUUAUUUCAGACCCAGACAGUUAAGGCAGAUGUACAUCAUCAGUCUUCGAAGAAUGUCCUGGGGACAUAGCCAAGACAGUAUUUUUUUUUCUCCUAUCAUUGCUGAUUUAAUAUCUGCACAAGUGCACAUGCAAGAGGAUGAUAUGAAACUUGUGCUUUUCAGUUCAAGUCCCUGUGAAUGACUCCCCCUUGGAGACUGUUAAAAAUGUAAUGGGGUUAUUGUAGCACAUGGGAAUCAGUACUUGAAUGCAUGCACCAGAAAAGCAAAAGUGGGAUGACCUUGUCUGCAUUAAGUCGGGGGCUGAGCUGAGCAUCUAGUGGAAAUAAAAAGAAAAACUAAUUCCAAGCAGGUCCCAGUGAGCAUGCUUUUAUCCAAAAAGCAAUCGGAGAGAGGAAUACGACCUACCAGAUGGAAUUGCUGAGGCAGAGGUGAAACUUAGAAACAACAAUAACGGAACACGAUCAAGUAUAAUUUUGACAGAAUGAAGAUAUUAGAAAGAAAAUGCCCCAGCGGGACAGUUUGGCUCAUCCUGAUCCCAAUAUUUCAUCUGCUCUCGGAAGACCCCAGGAGAAAACUGUGUCACAGCACCAUAAGAUGUCGAGGCUGAGCUGGUCUGAUCACUGCAGUGCUUGCUCCUGUGUGUGCCAGUAGUAGAGGGAGGUGCUGCUGUGCCUCUCAGCUCUGUAACUGCACCAAGCCCCUGGAAAGGGGGACAGGAAGUGCUGGAAUCUGCGUCCUACAGCAGUUUUCUGUCACGUUAUCCACCAGCAUCACGGGUCCCGAUGGGAAACUCAGUGGGAUCUGCUCUGAGGAUGGUGGCAGCAGUGGGAAGUGGAAGAAGAGAGAAGGUUUUCCUCCGAUCACAUCUGAAACCAUUGUGCCUCCUGAACAAAAGAAAGUAAGCCCUGCAAAGGCUAAGACUGUGUUUCCUAAGGGGGAGAAAUCAUGAACAAACAAAAGUCAGGUGUUGAAAUGAGAGCUGAAUCUUCACCCUAACUGAAACAUUUACAAGUAAUACAGUGAACACAGAGCAAGGAACAAUUCAGAUGCAGGCAGCGUGUAUCACCUUCCCACCUCUCCCAUAAAUGAAGUGUGGUGGCAGCGUUUAAAGUAAGACCCACAGGUUCUGAGCUGGGUGUUCCAGACAGCCGAGGACUCCAGCUGAAGCCCUGGACGUGACCCAGCUGUAUGUAGGUGUCUGAUUGUUUGGAAUUGGAGUCAAAGGGACUGGAAGGGAUGUGGGCUGAGCAUGCCAUAAAUCAUGCCAGCCUGAAAGGCUUGCUGGCUUGGAGGACCCUUGAUCUUUAACACAGAGCUCCUCUCUAGCUGUCACAGCAGUUACUCUCUGUGAGAACAUGAGAAGUGAUUUUGAGAACAGCAAUCCAAGCAACUCUUACAUGCGUUCAGAUGUGAGAGCAAGGGGGAGCAUCCUCAUUUGUAGCAUCCUGCAGAGCCUCUAAAGCAUCCAGCAAGGUUCCUAAGGAAGACCUGCAUCAGGUUCUGUGCUAGAGUCUAGAGGUGUCUAUCCCAUGGCAUCCGUCCUCCAGGAUGGAUCCUUAUAUCUCAGCCAUGCACAGCUUCAUGAGAGUUCAGGAGACCAGGGGAUGGUGGAGAGUUAUUGUCCAGUAUCCUUGUGCAGGCUAAAUGGUGGGUGAAUGUGAAGGACCCCAGGCACACCUGUCAGAUAUACCUACAGAAAACUCCCUUCCUCAGGGGAGAACCACAACAUGACAGCUGGCAGGUCCUCAGAAAUUGAGAUGUCCACAAUAAAUAUUCAACUAAAAUUAAAAAACAGAGAAAGCAAGAUAAUAUUUUACUUCCUCCUGCUCCUGACUGUAAAGUGAGGAUAAUAAAUACUCUCUCACUCUACAGAGCAGUAUUACAUGAAAUAUAUUUUCAAAGCAGUCUCACUCAACGAGGAUGAGGAUGACUGCCACAGAGAAAAGAAGAAAAGGGCACCCUCAUCAAUUGCAUCUCCUUUCUGUGAACUCCCUUCACAGCCACUGAAAAAGAUCCAUCAGUUCACCUGCCAGCUACCAAGCAGCUACCAAGCAGCAGGAAGAGGUGCUCUUGCUCUCCAGAUGCUCUUACCUGACUCUGGCACCUGCCUUGCCUUGUUCUGAGGCCAGACAUAGUUUUGGUAUGGCAGACCUCUGAGCCCCAUGACAUAACAGAAAAUUAGAUUCUCUCACACUGCUAGAUAUGAUAGAUUCUGAGAAGCUUGAUGCAUCCAGCGUGAGAAAGAGUAACCUGGCCUCCUCUCAUAUGGCCUUGACACACGUAAGAGAGAGGGAAGGAGAAGUGCUGAGGUGAUAACUUUUGGUUAGCUGGCUAUGUCCCUCAUCAGCUGGCCCUGUGAGCCAUUUUUGAGCACCGUGACUGCAAAUCAACAGCAGGUUCUUACAUCAAAACAAGAGUAAGUAACAAAAGAACCCUCAGUGACUUCCUGAGUAGCGCAUGCAACCACAGGUCUCAAAGCAUCCUGAAGCAGCAAUCCUAAUCAGCCUCAUUUAAGGAAGGAGUCGAUAGAGGCUGGAGCACCAGAGAUAUCACCUAGAGAUAGCAGAGGGGCAGAGAUGGCAGGCCAAGCUGUGGCAGCUGCCACAUGCAGUAGAAGAGCAUCUGAGGGUGGGUGGGCAGCCUCUGGAAGGUGGACAACCAACCCAAGAUGCUACCCUCCAAACCUGCUGCUGCCACU